rnacentral:rRNA from 1 species
AUUCGUCCAAUUGAAACAGAGGACAGUGGCGGACGGGUGAGUAACGCGUGAGGAACCUGCCUUUCAGAGGGGGACAACAGUUGGAAAGGGAUGCUAAUACCGCAUAAUAUUGUUUUACCGCAUGAUAGAACAAUCAAAGAUUUAUCGCUGAUAGAUGGACUCGCGUCUGAUUAGAUAGUUGGUGGGGUAAAGGCCUACCAAGUCGACGAUCGGUAGCCGAACUGAGAGGUUGAUCGGCCACAUUGGGACUGAGACACGGCCCAGACUCC